rnacentral:lncRNA from 1 species
AAGGCACUGCCUUGGUGUCAUGAUAUGGGAACAGACCACGAACACAAGUAUGGAUAGGUUGAAUCAUCUUGGGAGGAGCUUCGACCUUUUUAUUUUUGUAUACAAUGGUUAUUGGUUCGAUGACUACAUAACUACACCAUUCCCUGAUUCAUUAAGUUCUGAACACAACCCUUCAAAAUAUCACAAUGAUCACAAUUUGAUUCACACACAACACAAU